UAAGCCGUUACGCAACUAACAAGAGAGACAGGUUUGCGGCGUUUGCCCAAACUCGUACGUUGCCCAAAAUGACAUUAUCAUCCAGGUAUAGCUGCUAGAUGUCGAGCAGCAUCACGCAGCAGAUCUGCCCAGAUUAUUAGAGAAAUAGCGGAAUUAAGAAUUUUCUGAAGCCUUCUGAAUUCUGAUCUCAUGCAUGGAGUAUUACAGAGAAAUGAAACUCGGUUGCCAAUGAUCAAGAGAUGCAAGUUUCUUGGGAGACCCUUUAAUCCCAGGCCUCGUAAAAUCACUAGGCCUCUUUCUGGUAAGCGGUUUGACCUCAGAAGAACUGUUACUGCUGCUUGGUGAUCCUGUUUCCUGACUUGAGUACUCCUCGCCAGUCUCUUGACUCCUGAUGCCCUUUAGCAAGCCCAUGAAGCAACUGUCGUCAGAAAAGCAACACUGCUUGUCUGCAUUAGGUUUCAUGCUGCUGGCAAUUGUUAUGUUUGGAAAAGAAACAGCGCCAUUAUCAUCUCUCUCU